GGAGGCGGGUGCAAGGAGAGGGGGCGGCUCCUCCCACGGCGGAGGGUCGCUGCCUCGAAGGCAAGCAGGCAGGCGCAGGGCUUCCUACGAAAGAAGAUGCCUCAAAACCUAGAGGAUACGAAGCUAAAACCUCCCAAAUUUGAGGAAGAGGCCUUUGAGAUUGUGAAGGUAAAGGUUCCCUGGAGAUAAAUCAAGUGACUGAUGGGGAGGCCGACUUACCAGUCUUCAUAGAUAAUUACGGGUCCAUCCAGCCUUCUGGUAAAAAAAAAAAUUGUCAACUUCAUUAUGCCACGUGGAAAGAAAGGAUGAACAUCAUGGACAAGAGAUGAUCACAAGUGUCAUCGGGAUGCGUCAAGGAGGAGGAGAG
rnacentral:lncRNA from 1 species